CGCUCUUCAUCCCGGCAGCGUUACAGCAGGUGGAGGACUUCUCACCGCUGUGGUGGGACCUCGUCAAGUCCACCGCCUGGUUUCGCGACCACUGGUACCACCAGCACCAGCAGCUCGACGAUAUGGCCGACUCCCUCAUCGCCUUCGAGGCCGAGGACGCCAUCGCUGUCGAGGCUUCGCAGCCGCAGCCGCAGCCGCCAGCGGCACUCAAUAUUGGUACUUUAUCACCCAAUUCACUGUCCACGCCUAUAUAUGUACAGUACUGUAUAUGAUAUGAGCGCUCAAAUAAAAGAUGAAGCAAGACUGCAGUGAGCUCAUCACGUAUGUGCUUCUGUAUGUGC
rnacentral:lncRNA from 1 species